rnacentral:rRNA from 1 species
AUUGAACGCUGGCGGCAUGCCUUACACAUGCAAGUCGAACGGCGGCAUGGGUGCUUGCACCUGAUGGCGAGUGGCGAACGGGUGAGUAAUGCAUCGGAACGUACCCGGAAGUGGGGGAUAACGUAGCGAAAGUUACGCUAAUACCGCAUAUUCUGUGAGCAGGAAAGCGGGGGAUCGCAAGACCUCGCGCUUCCGGAGCGGCCGAUGUCGGAUUAGCUAGUUGGCGGGGUAAAGGCCCACCAAGGCAACGAUCCGUAGCGGGUCUGAGAGGAUGAUCCGCCACACUGGGACUGAGACACGGCCCAGACUCCUACGGGAGGCAGCAGUGGGGAAUUUUGGACAAUGGGGGCAACCCUGAUCCAGCCAUGCCGCGUGAGUGAAGAAGGCCUUCGGGUUGUAAAGCUCUUUCGGCUGGGAAGAAAUCGCAUCUCCUAAUACGGGGUGUGGAUGACGGUACCAGCAUAAGAAGCACCGGCUAACUACGUGCCAGCCGCCGCCGUAAUAC